CUCAAGACAGGGCACAGACCUCUCAUGAUGGACUUUGGGGUUAGCUGGGUUUUCCUUGUUGCAAUUUUGAGAGGAGUCCAGUGUGAUGUGCAGCUGGUGGAGUCUGGAGGAGGCUUGGCGCAGCCUGGAGGGUCUCUGAGACUCUCCUGCAUGGCUUCUGGAUUCACCUUCAGUAGCUACUGGAUGCACUGGGUCCGCCACACUCCAGCAAAGGGGCUGGAGUGGGUAUCAGUUAUCAAUGAUAAUGGUGGUACCACAUACUAUGCUGACUCUGUGAAGGGUCGAUUCACCAUCUCCAGAGACAAUGGAAAAAACACGCUAUACCUGCAAAUGAACAGCCUGAAAACUGAGGACACAGCUGUUUAUUACUGUGCGAGAGAUACACAGUGA